UAGGGAAUAUUGGACAAUGGGUGAGAGCCUGAUCCAGCCAUGCCGCGUGCAGGAAGAAGGCGUUAUGCGUUGUAAACUGCUUUUUGCCAGGGGAUAAAAAGACCGUGCGCGGUUAAUUGAAGGUACCUGGUGAAUAAGCCACGGCUAACUACGUGCCAGCAGCCGCGGUAAUACGUAGGGACCAAGCGUUGUUCGGAUUUACUGGGCGUAAAGGGCGCGUAGGCGGUGUGUCAAGUCAGUUGUGAAAUCUCCGAGCUUAACUCGGAACGGUCAACUGAUACUGUCACACUAGAGUACAGAAGGGGCAAUCGGAAUUCUUGGUGUAGCGGUGAAAUGCGUAGAUAUCAAGAGGAACACCUGAGGCGAAGGCGGGUUGCUAGGCUGAUACUGACGCUGAGGCGCGAAAGCUAGGGUAGCAAACGGGAUUAGAUACCCUAGUAGUCCCUGAGCGGGCUGGCAAGGCGCAU
rnacentral:rRNA from 1 species